UUGAGGGUGGCGGCGAUCGUAGAUAGAGCGCCAUGAAGGCCUCAGUGAUGCUUCGAGAGUAUAAGGUGGUGGGGCGCUGCCUGCCGACCCCCAAAUGCCGCACGCCGUCCCUCUAUCGCAUGAAAAUUUUUGCACCUAAUGAUGCUUUUGCCAAGUCCGGCUUCUGGUACUUUGUGUCUCAGUUGAAGAAGAUGAAGAAAUCCUCGGGGGAAAUCGUCUACUGUGGACAGGUGCUCGAGGAAUCUCCCUGGCGAGUGAAGAACUUCGGCAUCUGGCUACACCAGGACUCCCGCAGCGGCACCCACAUGUACCGGGACUUGACCACCGCUGGCGCCAUCACCCAGUGCUACCGGCACCGAGCCCGGGCCCACUCCAUCCAGAUCAUGAAGGUGGAGGAGAUCGCAGCCGGCAAGCGCCGCCGACCAGCGGUCAAGCAGUUCCACGACUCCAAGAUCAAGCUCCUACUGCCCCACCGGGUCCUCCGUGGCCAGCACAAGCCACGCUUCACCACCAAGAGGCCCAACACCUUCUUUUAGGUGCAGGACCUCUGUCCCCGGGUCUACCCAAAUAAAACUUAUUGGGAAAACC